UCCUCUUAUUCGAUGAUCAGCAAAAUCGUCCGUGCUGCAUUUGUCGGAGUUGGAGUUUAACGGAUACCGAGCAGCCGAGUGCGGAGCGAGGGCGGUUGGUGAAACGGCAAUCUCACUCAACGUUUGAUCUCCAAGCAACUGUAGCCUCCGAGUUGUUGGAUGCGGCCGAGCCGGUGCUCACUGAUGCCCCGAGGCGCCCCGAGGCGUUCACAACCUUCAUCAUUACACAAGCUUCAUUCCGAGGAAGGACGCCGUGUAGGAAUGAAGAUGAAUCGACCACCUCAUUUGCAUUGGCUGAUCGUCUAGCUAGCAAGCUGCUACUCCAAAGCCCUCCAAAAGGCCGACGGUGAGUAGUUCCCACUCGGACCGCUGAGCCGCCGUCUUUAUCCAAACGGGAGUCUUUUCUUUUCAUGAGCACCUUUUGUCUCAGAGUAAUGUCUGGUAUGCCGGGAUACAAGCUUUGCUCAAUGACCUGAUUUCUAUGGCCUCCGUGUGUGUGCGCGCCCGCAAGCCCUUCCUUUGGAGAAGACAGAGGGCUUAGCCAGGCAGACAGACGCAUCCAGCCAAUCAGGGGGCAGUAAACACAAGAAGCCUUACAUGAGGUAAACAAAAAGGCCUGGCGUUCCCGGAGCGGGAAGAGGCACAUAAUUGGAUUAGGAAAUAUUCUCCAAGGCAAUUACCAUCCCAGAUUGUAAUAAGAGGUCAUUUUUUAAAGGUUUACAUCUUGUCAGAGCAUUGAAAAUCAAUAUUUAUCCAAGAGAUGAUCUCGUUGAAGACACGGGAGGGCUGAAUGGCCAACGUCCUACCUUGUCUCUGGAUGAAAAUCCUCAGCAGGGGGUGAGCGGUGGACACGGCCUUACAGAAGUUGUCGUCGUUGUUGAUGGGCAGCAGAUCGCCGUGGACAUCAGCGUACCCGAUCAUCACCUCCAUGUUGGCGAUGCGGUGGAUGUGCAGGAUGAGUUUGUAGAACUCCUCGAACUUGCCGGGCUUCAGCCGGUCCACCGAGAAGCGGCGGAAUUCCGCCCCAUACUGCGGCGAGGGGAAGGAGGGAAACGGCACAAAUCAAUCAACAGGAAUGAGCAUUGAGUAGCUUAGCUUUACCCUUUAAAAACUUUCAUUUUGUGUAUUAUAUACACACAAUACAAGGGAAUUCAUUGCCAUCUUCAGCAAGCAGCUAAUUAGCUUAGCUUAAUUUUUUUAUUAGGUAUUAAAAGGGAACUCGGGAGGGGAACUUUAAAAAGGGUAACAUGUUCAAACGACAGCGGCAGGCAUUUGUGUCGCCUCCCACGCAUUCACACACAGUUUGUGCUGAUGCUUUCUUUCCCCGGGCGAGGUCAUCAAAGCGCCAAUGAGGCCGCCGCUGAAGGUCACGGCGGGGUCAUCAUGUGACUCAGAUGCAAAAAGGCGAGAGAUACCGCGCCGAGGCCACAAAAGCACGCCCCAAUAAACCAAAACAAGGAACCGUCACAGACAGAGCGAGUGUGAGUGAACGAUACUUUGAGACAUGAACGACUCCUCCAGUCAACUCGUCCCCUCGACAAACAGGUUUGUCAAAGAUAACGUUAUAAAAAGGUUAGUGAAAGUGUUGCUCCAACGUGUUUGAACACGACUCCAACUGGAUGUACUGCUCCGAAAGGUUACACCAUCAGGCGACGUGCUUCAACAAUUAUUGGCUCCUAUUUUAUUGCCGCCUAUCGAUGCGGGAGACAGGAAAUACUACUACAUGCUCAUGUACACAGAUCUCAUCAUGUGUGGUGCCUCCUAUGGCUUGGGUCAAAAUGCUUUGGAAGCUCAUGUUAGCAUUAGCCGUGGCAGUAGACACUCAAUGACGAUAAACAAAAUUGGGUUUUAACGUUACUUUUAAGAAAAGUACAUGAAAAUAAUGCAAUCGACUAAUUUAAUUUCUACUACGUCGCACUCUAUGUGUAUGCUGGUGGCCCCGCCUCCACCCACUGAGAUACCGGAGGACUGACAGAAGAGCUCACUCCGUUCAUGCCAUUGUUCCGUGCUUCCGAGCAAUGCACAGAGUGAACUCUCCUUGAUGGAUGAGGGAAACAGACCUAUAAUGAGGCCGGCAAAAUUAUUGAAUUAAUUUUCUUUUAUUUUCUGUCAUAAAUUAAUUUAUUUAUCAUCAUUCCCAAAGCUGGUGCCCACAAGUUCAUUUUCUGAACUAGAAAUCUCACGAGAUUUGGCGACUCCCCUCGCAAGCAUCCGUGUAAGACAUCGAGAUUUUAGUAAGACGUUUUGGUUGAUGUCAGCCAUGUUUUUCAACUAAUCUUGCUCGUACUGGUGAGUCCCAUACAGGUGUGCACCAAAUUUUAUAGUGGUUGGGUAACGAUGAGUCAUAUCAAAUCUAAUCGAAUCGUUUGUACACUGUACCGAAUCACUAUGUUUAUCUUUUUAACGUAUCCAUCUCCGUUUGCACAUCGAAUCUUCCACCACAAAGGGAUUUACAACCCUGGUAUCAUCUUGUGACGCCCCGAGUACAAACCGAUGCCUUAUCUUUCAGUGAUAUAUCGGACGACAUUGGGGGGGCUGGAUGGUAAUUUGGGGCUUGUUUUGGAAACCCUCAACCGCAGGCUCCAACAAAGUGUUUGGAAAUCUUCUUAAAUCAAAGUGGAGGGAUUGGUGUCAACAUCUCGUCCUACACCCCCCCAGCCCCAAAAAACCAAAACAUCUGGUCCCUGAUAAGAGCAUGAGUGAAACCAGUACCAGUCUCCUCCGACACGUCCUCCCUGAUACUCUUAUCACUAAAAGCACCCUCGUAUCGUCAUGAAGACCAUUAAGAACAUUGAGAAAAGUACUUUGGAUAAACUGUGACGGUGGUGAUCCACACAUGUGAGUGACUCACCUUGCAGGUACAAUACAUUUAACUAAACCCGAAAAUGCAAAUGUGACGUGAAUGGGAGUCAGCUGCAUGUGACGUCAUACUAAAACCUGCCAGAAACCAUUUGGAAGCUAUCUCAAAAAGGUAAUUACUGCUUAUUGGGGCUCGGUUUGAUUCACCUUUUCACACCCAAAUGGACCAAAAGUACUGACAGACACCGUCAGCAAGUUGUUAAAUGUUGAUUUCUUAGAUUUUAGCUGUGAAUCUACUACAGAAAGACUAAUUCCUACAUCUGUUUCACUUGUUUGUCAUUUUAACCACAACAGAGAGACGUUUUAUACACUCCAAAUUGAAGUCCUGGAUGAGUUUCGACAUUUUCUUAACGAAUGUGGGCACCAAAGUGCAACAAAUUGAGUAAAACGGCCACUUUUUUGAGCGGCGAACACUCCUGGUUCAUAUGUGUCUCGUUAAAAGGCAUCAAACAUCCAAUACAAAAUAAUGUUGUGUUCAAAUGCUCACUGCAGACGACCAUGUGUGUGCACUCUUCCUCCGCCUACGUGCACAUCGCACCCACCUUGCUUUUCACCUCCACGGCGUUACAAUCCACGUUUCGCAAGGGUUGCGAUCGGUUAAAGCUCCGGUUCAUUCUGGGAAUAGAACUUUACAAAACAAAAGAGAAGAAAACAGUGCCCUGCAAGAAGGGGGCUCCGGUCGGUGGGGUUUCCAGCAGUAAAGUCCUUCCAAUACAAACGAUCGCGAUUCCCUUUUUUUUUUUAACUCGUUCACCUCGGAAAAGUAUUAUUUUGUCAAAUGUAUUCCACUUUUCAGCUGAAGAAGACCUUCCAGGUUGAAAGGCGGAGAAGAACUAAGCGGUGUGGAGUUUUGGAGGGUUGGUUAAGUUUUGAAAAUGACAUCAGCGCUCCUAAAAAAAACCCGGAGCUUGUGAUGCCUUCAGGGUAGCUUGUUCACUUCGGUAUUACAAUCUAACGUAAAGAGCUGCACAUGAAAAAUCAGCGUUUAGAAUACAAUAUUUUCUAUACAUAUAUGUUUAUUAUUAAAGUACAACUCUUUGGUUUGAAAAAUAUUAAUAUAACUUUUAUAAGUUACAUCCAUCACGUCAUGCUGCUGGAAACCGACGAAUCCCACCUAUUCUUGAAAGCACCAUUAGGUGCAUUGCUUCUCCAGUCCGCUGGGGGCAACAUUUGUAAAAAGAUAACAUUCUCUGUGCUACUUCCGCUGUUUAUGCCAUUAACAAAGUCAACUCAAUACAGGACAAUGUUGCCGAUACUGAUCAAUACAUUUUACUUGAUAUUUUUAAAUCAGUUGAUUGUUUUUGUCAUUUUAAUUUAUCGACUAUCCUUGGUAUCAAUGCCGAUAUUUGCCUCGACUCCCCACAAAAGCUGUAAUGAUAUUAGAUUAGUUAAGCAACAUCGAAUUUCAUGAUUUCUGUGCUUGUUUUGUGAGUAAUAUGACACUGUAUACUUCCAUUUCCAUUUAAAAUCAUGUUGUCUGUCUCAUUAAAAAAGGAGGCAACAUGUUGACGAGCGUCCUGCUUUACGGCAUUCCUGCACAGCAGCUGCAGAUUGCAAAGGAAGCACUUCUAGUUUACUCACUCCUGGAAGUUACUGGACAAAAAGCAGACGCUAAAAUCUCAUGUUUGGGUGUAGGGCGCCUACCUGUGGUCAGUAGUAGUACUGCAUAAACUGUACACAAUUUUAUUGUGUAUUUUAUUAUCAGCUGCCAAUUUCAAAUACAUAUAUAGCACUUAUUUCGUAUUGUACGAAAUAUAUAUUACACUAAAUGUCUGUAUCAUAAUUCAUAAUUUACGACCAUUGAUGAAACGGUUGCAGUUCACUUCCCGAGUCCCUACAAAGACCGACACUCACUUCCGGUCCGACGUAAGGUAAGCUAAUAACGUAACGAGUAUUCUUUUUUGUAAUAUGUCAAAGUUUAAAUACAUAUAACGAUAAAAAAGUUUCCAUAAUUGUCUUACAUUUACUAUCAAAUGUGGUUAAAAUCAUUGCGGUUACUAAAAUGACCAAAUUCGCAACUUUAUAGUGUUGUCCUAUGUAAACUGCCGUAUUUUUCACGACUCAGCCGUGUAAAUGUACAACAACGCAAAAUAGUUCGUUUUUAAUGAAAAGCGAACUUAGUUGUUAGGCGUACUACUUUUUUUUGUUGCUUGCUUGUCUGAUUAAACAAACCUCCACAGUCAACGUGGAGUUUAUUGAGGCCUUACGUCAGACGACGUUAAUUCACAGCAGUGUAUGCUAGCUAGCUACCUCAUGGGAAUAAGCGCCAUAAAAGACGGAUGGAUGCGAGCUACCACUCCUUGAGAAGUGGACUUCAGAGAAGGACAUAAAUUCAAGAAAAAAUUGGCACCCACCUCUUAAGACGUCCCGUCUGCUUUGCUUCAACCCCACACACGUCCCUCCUCAUCCUCACCGGCCCCCUUUUGAUGUGUAAAGAUGGCCCAGACCUCUGGGCUGGUCUGGACUUUGUCUUUUUUUUUUUAAUGGCCCUUUUAGUGAAGUUUGUGUGCCGUCACUCAUGUGUACGCACUCGUGUAAAGAUGCUGCAGUGUUUUUGUACUGGCUGAACGCAUAUUUUAGUCACUGCGUUGUGUUCUCCUCCCUGCAGCAUGAAAACACGAGCCAUCUGGUCUCAGGGGGUGAAAGGUCAAAUCUCAGGCUGGUAAUGAGGAUGGCGUUGCCAGGGGGAUGUAGGAGGGGCAGUUUGUGUGUGUGUGUGAGGCCAAUGGCGACGGGCCUGUCUGCUUCCUAAGUGAGCAUUAAACAUUAACGAGUGUGGACGCAUGAGGAGAUGUUAGAUUAGUGGCAGUGCAAUCCAUUUAUAAAGUGUCUUAUAGCUGGAAAAUCACAAUGGCGAGCCUUUUAAGUUGAAGUAAAUGGAGUUUCGCUCACUUCAUUUCAAGGUCCAUGGAUAUAAUUCAGCAUGUGUGUGGGUUACCAUGGCGAUGCGGGGAAAAUGAGAGGAAUAAUGAAAUUUGCACAUCCUCGCUUGUGAAAGUAAGCCGGCAACCUUCGGGACUGACAAGGUUUUUACUUGUGACAUUAAAGAAGCCACACACUCGGCGGUGACAUCAUCAUCGUGUUGUCACUCACCGCCCACGAUCCGCGGGACAUCCGCCGCGCUCUCAUGGGGACGGCGCAGACAGGACGUCUCUGGCGGGAUUACGGGGUGUUUGCGCAGGGCGUCUCGCACGCCUCCUCGAUUGAAAGAAAACAGCAUCCGUCUCGGUCAGGCCUCCAGGCUGUUAAAUAAACGUCAGUCAGCCAAGCCGUGCGUAGCGGAGAGAGUGAGACCGCAGAAGGCCGCGGCUCAAUCUCAACACAAACACACACUUAUUGACCUUCUCCUGGUGUACAGUGUUGGAGAUCAACAUCUUCCUCUUCUCUCCUCAUUGUUUCUUCUCUACGCUGUCCUGAGUGGUCACUUUCACUCAGCGCCUCCUUCUUGAUAAAAUGUCAACACACAGACCAGACAAUACACCAGAUUGGCUCCAUGAGAAUGAGAAGGAAAAAAGAUUUUAACUUAGAUAGUUCCAUAGAUUCCUUUAUUGUCAUUGCACAGUAACACAGCAGGGAAAUUGUCGACGAAAUGUCGUUGCCUGGCUCCCAUAUAAUAUCAAAAACAAACGAAGGUAAAUAAUAAUAAUAAUGAAAUGACAGCUCAAAGCUGUGUGCACACCGGACACAAUUAACAUGAUUUUGCCCCGCCCAUACUGUUACCCUACCCUGUUACCCCGCCCUGUUUUGCUUUGGAUUAGCAAUGAAGCUAAAGGCUUAUGACGCUGGGUACAAAUAAAUGCAGGAAAUGAUUCGGAAUAAAACGGAAAAUAGAUAAGAUAAAGCAUCUCAUCAAACAUGUUGUGAAGUUACGACAAUGUGAGUACGAUGCUAACUUGCUAAUUGGGUCAAAUGAUUAAGUUUCAUUAAUGUUCAUGUUAAAGGUUAAAUAACUGUUAAUACUGUACAUUUGAAUCUGAAAAAAAUAAUUUCUCUACCAACUGUAUGUGGUUUCUUACGUUUUUCUUAUUUGCUGUUUUAUUAUUAUUUUACUUAUUUAUUACUGAUUGAUUGUAUUGUCUUUAUUCUUAAUUUGUUUAUUUAUUUAUUUUUAUCUUAUUUUGUGUAUAGUGUGUAUAUGUGGAAUGUUUUAUCAGAUAUUUUGGUGUGGAAAACCCGAACCAAAGUACUGAAAAAGUGUAGGGCAGAGGUGCUCAUUAAGUCGAUCGCGAUCUACCGGUCGAUCGCGGAGGUGGUACUGGUCGAUCGCUGGUCGAUCGCGGCGUGACAUUAAAAAAAUAUCAUCCCAGCAUCAAUGCCGUCACUUGAUUGAUAUACAGGGCAGCCAUUCAGAUGACAACUGAAUGUUGCCCUUCG